rnacentral:rRNA from 1 species
UGGGGAAUAUUGCACAAUGGGCGCAAGCCUGAUGCAGCCAUGCCGCGUGUAUGAAGAAGGCCUUCGGGUUGUAAAGUACUUUCAGUCGGGAGGAAGGUGGUAAGGUUAAUAACCUUAACAAUUGACGUUGCCGACAGAAGAAGCACCGGCUAACUCCGUGCCAGCAGCCGCGGUAAUACGGAGGGUGCAAGCGUUAAUCGGAAUUACUGGGCGUAAAGCGCACGCAGGCGGUUGAUUGAGUCAGAUGUGAAAUCCCCGGGCUUAACCCGGGAAUUGCAUCUGAUACUGGUCAGCUAGAGUCUUGUAGAGGGGGGUAGAAUUCCAUGUGUAGCGGUGAAAUGCGUAGAGAUGUGGAGGAAUACCGGUGGCGAAGGCGGCCCCCUGGACAAAGACUGACGCUCAGGUGCGAAAGCGUGGGGAGCAAACAGG